GGCGUAGCUGCGGAUGGCUCAUUAAAUCAGCUAUUAUUCCUUAGAUCGUACCGACCGUUGUGGAUAUCUGUAGUAAUUCUAGAGCUAAUACAUGCACGCAAGCACCGAUCCUCCGUGAGAAGUGCGCUUUUAUUAGAACAAGACCGGCGGUGAGGAGUAACUACCGUAGCCCCGUCGUGUUGACUCUGGAUAACUUANCCGAUCGCACGGCCCUGGUCGCCGGCGACGCAUCUUUCAAAUGUCUGACCCAUCAGCUGGUUGGCCGGGUAGUGGCCGGCAAAGGAGGUGACGGGUAACAGAGAAUCAGGGUUCGAUUCUGGAGAGGGAGCCUGAGAAACGGCUACCACGUCCAAGGAAGGCAGCAGGCGCGCAAAUUACCCACUCCCGACUCGGGGAGGUAGUGACGAAAAAUAACGAUAGACGACUCAGUCGAGGCUGUCUAAUCGGAAUGAGUAUAGUCUAAAGCCUUAACACGAGGAGCUAGUAGAGGGCAAGUCUGGUCGGGCGGGGGCGGCGGGACGGGCGCGGGGCGCGGCGGGCG
rnacentral:rRNA from 1 species